AGAAGAUUGGACAUGAACGACGAUGGAACGAGAUUUGGGGAGAAGAACAGAGACCGAAGCUUCGAAAACAGAGGAAAGAGACAAAGCCUUGCUGUCGUGUUUAGUUAGGUAACAGAUCACAUCCGCCAUACAGAUCUUACCCACACACUCGCAUUCGCACUCGCACUCGCACUUGUUGUUAUCAUCGUUGGUUUCGUCGUGGUUACAGCUCCAUACGCUGAGGAAAGGCUCGUCGGAGGAUUUGAGGGCGGCGAUGGCGUCAGCGACGGUGGCUGUCACGGCGGAGAGGCACCUUAGCGGCGGUUUGCCGAUGCAGAGAUCGGAUACCUCGUGGGACAAAAGGGUUAGUGCCAUAUAAAGAAAGAAUUUAAAAUUUUGGUUUGGGGAGGAGAAUGUGAAGAAGAACGAGGGGAGAGAGGAGAGAGUGUGUCUUUAUAAAGAAGGAGAAGAAGAGAUGGGUACGGUGUAAAAGUACAUUUGAGCAAGUGCAUCAAUAGGACUUUUAGAAUGGUCCUUAGAGUAUUUAAUUAGUUUAUGUAGUUUAGGACUUUGGUUAAGGACUUUUGUUAAAAUGUUGAUUAUGGGUGGGACAUUUGGUAGGUCCUUAGGUUUAAAAUUUUUUUUUAAACUAGUUUUUAAAACUACAAACAUUUUGUUAGUGUAAAAAAAUACAAAGUUCAGAAAUUAAAACACUGACAAUUUAUUCAUAAAAACUUAAAAUUACAUAUUAUUCGGAAGAUGUCCAAAUUUAGCCCAUAUAUUUUCAAUCAAAUCGUGUUUUAAGUUUUCAUGGAUUUGUCUAUUCCGAAGCCUUGUUCGACGAUCCAUUGUUGUGCCGACAUUUUCACUGAUAUUCGAAGGCAUGUUGACGGUAAACGUAUCCGGAACUUCUCUUGGUUGAAACUCAAAUUUGUUAUACUGGGUGAAUGAUGACCGUUCAUCUUCGACAAUCAUAUUAUGGAGUAUGAUACAUGCUCUCAUAACAUUUCCUAUUUUCUCUUUAUCCCAUAACUUUGACGGAUUUUUGACAACGGCAAAUCUAGCCUGAAGGACUCCGAAGGCACGCUCGACAUCUUUUCGAACUGAUUCUUGGGUUUGAGCAAAUAAUGAAUGCUUCUGAUUUUGUGGUAGUCGGAUAGAUUGAAUAAAAGCCGCCCAUUUCGGAUAAAUACCAUCAGUGAGAUAAUAUCCGAAAUGGUACUGAUUAUCAUUAACAUAGAAGUUCACUUCUGGCGCGAUGCCAUUAAUAAUAUCGUCAAAAACAGGUGAUCGAUCAAGAAUAUUUAGAUCGUUCAUAGUACCUGGUGCUCCAAAAAACGCGUGCCAUAUCCAUAGGUCAUACGAAGCUACCGCCUCCAACACAAUUGUCGGUUUUCCGUUACCUCGUGAGUACAUUCCUUUCCAAGCCGUGGGGCAAUUCUUCCACUCCCAAUGCAUACAGUCGAUGCUUCCAAGCAUCCCCGGAAAUCCACGUUGUUCUCCGAUAUGUAGUAGUCUUUGCAGAUCCUCCUGUGUUGGACGUCGUAGAUAUUCUUCGCCAAACAAGGUUAUUAUUCCGGCGGUAAAUUUGUGCAAACAUUUUCGAGCUGUUGAUUCGCCUAGACGGAUAUAUUCGUCCACCGAGUCCGCCGCAGCACCGUAUGCCAAUUGUCGAAUUGCUGCAGUACAUUUUUGUAGAGGUGUUAGACUUGUCCGUCCGGUACAAUCUUCUGAUAGUCGAAAAUACGGAAUCUCUGUUUUGUUCUUGUGUGUUGUUGUCGUUGUGGUGGCGGUUGUUAGCGAAACGACGGCGUUUCGGGGUUGUCUUCUCUUUGUGAUUGGUUUUGUCUGAAUCGGAACGAUCAGAUCCUGUGCUCCUCCGGUUAUCAGAUCAAUUGCUUCAAUUAACCUAUAAGAUCAAAUCAUUAAUCUCACGAACAGAAAAAAAAAACUGAGAUUUGGUGACGUACUUGCAAGAAGAUUGGACAUGAACGACGAUGGAACGAGAUUUGGGGAGAAGAACAGAGACCGAAGCUUCGAAAACAGAGGAAAGAGACAAAGCCUUGCUGUCGUGUUUAGUUAGGUAACAGAUCACAUCCGCCAUACAGAUCUUACCCACACACUCGCAUUCGCACUCGCACUCGCACUUGUUGUUAUCAUCGUUGGUUUCGUCGUGGUUACAGCUCCAUACGCUGAGGAAAGGCUCGUCGGAGGAUUUGAGGGC
rnacentral:lncRNA from 1 species